rnacentral:rRNA from 1 species
CAGUCGCCGCGGGAAUACGAAGGGUGCAAGCGUUACUCGGAAUUACUGGGCGUAAAGCGUGCGUAGGUGGUGGUUUAAGUCCGUUGUGAAAGCCCUGGGCUCAACCUGGGAAUUGCAGUGGAUACUGGGUCACUAGAGUGUGGUAGAGGAUAGUGGAAUUUCCGGUGUAGCAGUGAAAUGCGUAGAGAUCGGAAGGAACAUCUGUGGCGAAGGCGACUAUCUGGGCCGACACUGACGCUGAGGCACGAAAGCGUGGGGAGCAAACAGGAUUAGAUACCCGAGUAGUCCCUGUCUCUUAUAC